rnacentral:miRNA from 1 species
ACACUGUGGCUCGUUGUGUUGUCA